rnacentral:rRNA from 1 species
GAUGUACGCUGGCGGCGUGCCUAAUACAUGCAAGUCGAGCGAAUGGAUUAAGAGCUUGCUCUUAUGAAGUUAGCGGCGGACGGGUGAGUAACACGUGGGUAACCUGCCCAUAAGACUGGGAUAACUCCGGGAAACCGGGGCUAAUACCGGAUAACAUUUUGAACCGCAUGGUUCGAACUUGAAAGGCGGCUUCGGCUGUCACUUAUGGAUGGACCCGCGUCGCAUUAGCUAGUUGGUGAGGUAACGGCUCACCAAGGCAACGAUGCGUAGCCGACAUGAGAGGGUGAUCGGCCACACUGGGACUGAGACACGGCCCAGACUCCUACGGGAGGCAGCAGUAGGGAAUCUUCCGCAAUGGACGAAAGUCUGACGGAGCAACGCCGCGUGAGUGAUGAAGGCUUUCGGGUCGUAAAACUCUGUUGUUAGGGAAGAACAAGUGCUAGUUGAAUAAGCUGGCACCUUGACGGUACCUAACCAGAAAGCCACGGCUAACUACGUGCCAGCCGCCGCCGUAA